rnacentral:rRNA from 1 species
GCACAAGCGGUGGAGCAUGUGGUUUAAUUCGACGCAACGCGAAGAACCUUACCUGGGCUCGAAAUGGAGUGGACCGGAGUAGAAAUAUUCCUUCCCCGCAAGGGGCUGCUCUAUAGGUGCUGCAUGGCUGUCGUCAGCUCGUGUCGUGAGAUGUUGGGUUAAGUCCCGCAACGAGCGCAACCCUUAUUACCAGUUGCCACCAUUUAGUUGGGCACUCUGGUGAGACCGCCUCGGAUAACGGGGAGGAAGGCGGGGAUGACGUCAAGUCCUCAUGGCCUUUAUGUCCAGGGCUACACACGUGCUACAAUGGCCGGUACAAACCGUCGCAAACCCGUGAGGGGGAGCUAAUCGGAAAAAGCCGGCCUCAGUUCGGAUUGGAGUCUGCAACUCGACUCCAUGAAGCUGGAAUCGCUAGUAAUCGCGGAUCAGAAUGCCGCGGUGAAUACGUUCCCGGGC